ACGGCCAUCCCGCACCGCCGCCGCCUAGCGCCGCAACCCGGCCGGCAGCCGCCGCCGGGAUGCUGGGAGCCGCACAGGCCGUUUCAAUCGAGAGCUAGAAGAAGGAGAUAAGGUAGUUUUGCAAUAAGGCCCCUGAAGAUCCUGUAAAACUUUAUCCCUUUUCUUGUUUAUCGCAUCUUUCACAAUAACCCCCUGUGUAGAUUAGAUUCUCACAAACAGAUCCAACCCGAGCCCUUUUAUAGAUCUAACCCUGAUCUUUGAUCUAAUCACGAGCUCUGCACCUUAUGUCUUGCCAAUAUUUCUUUCUAACCCCUGAGAUCUAUAGUUAAUCCUGUUUAGAUCCUUAGAACCUUGUUUAGUCGGUAGAUUACACGUUUUAGCUCCGUUUCUAUCCGUUCAAGUUGCGUUAGGUUCAUAGCAACAUAAAAUACACGUUAGAAGUGAUGUUGUCCAUCAUUUCAUCUCUUUAAAAAUAAAUUUAAUAUUAAUUUGAUUAAUGCCUGAUAAACAUGUGUAUUCUCUAAAUAAAAGCUACAUGGAGUUAUACACCGCUUUUCAUAAUAAACAUCAAUUUGAUUAAUGCUUACUUCAUAUACUCUUCUAAAUAAAAGCCAAUUAGGUUAUAUAUCGGUUUUUCAUAAACUAAAGUUAAUUUGAUUAAUGCUUAUCUAAAUGAUUCUUCCAAUUAAAAGCUAAUUAGAGAGAUACCUCGACUUUUCAUAAAUUAAAUUCAAUUUGAUUAAUGUUUAUUCAAUUUGCUUCUAAAUAAAAGCUACAUAUGUUAUAUCUUAAUUUUUUAUUAUUAAAUGUUAAUUUGGCUAAUAUAAAUACAAAGGUGUUUUUAAUAUAAUCUUCUUAAUUGAACUCGAAAUAUAAAAUUAGAUGCUUAGAUACUUUUACAUGCUUCUUCUAAACUCAAAUGUUAAUUUACAUAAAUUGUACUUAAUAUUUAUAAAUAAAAUUGGACUAAGCUUUACAUUGUUUUUUCUUAUGUAAAUAUAAAUAUGACUAGAUUAAUUCUAACUAAGGGUAUUUCGUUGAAAUAUCUUUAAAUUAUUUUUCUCAACAAAAAUAAAUGCAGUAAGUAGCUCUUGUCUUUUUUUUAUACUUCAAAUCUCUCGAUAGCUUUAUCUUUUCAACCAUAGUUCUGUUUUAAAGUGUUUCUUGCGUUUGCGUGAUCCUUAGAUCGAGCCCUACCCUUUUAGUACGCUCUUUUAAAGCUUUUCUUUUGUUUGGGUGUGAUGUUCUUAGUUGUACUUGUUUGUUUGCUUGUAUGUUAGUGCUGAUGUUUACUUCGAGUAGAAGGAUCGUUAUUCGAAAGCUUUGAAGAGCAAGAGUUUCAAGAAAGCAAGAGCCGAAGAGCAGUAAGAGUAACUUGUCGUUGGAUAAAGGCAAGUGUGUCCUUGUGCUUUUGUCCCAAUAACUUUAUUAAUCACUAUUGCAUAUUCUUGCAUUUAAUUUGAUGGGGUCCUAUUAAGGUUUGCCUAAUUUUUAUAAUGAUUCCUUAUCAUGGGUUUAUCAUUCGGUUUGGUAGCUAUGCUUAGCUGUUAUACUUGGGUUACGGUGGUUAUAAUGAACUUAAUGAUUAACUUAUUUAUGCUAUACCUGUGGUAAUACAAGAUCACAAUGAUUAAUUAGAAUAUGGAGAACCACCCAGGAAAAUAGUGCAUCCACAAGAACUAUCAUGACUCUAGUCUUGAAUAAUUAAUUAGAGACUCUAAUCUGGGGUAAUCUUACUGAAAGGGCAAGAGGGACGGCAGUUGAUGGGGUAUAACCCGAUCCUUUUGGGGAGUGGGCUUUGCUAAGACACCACGCCCACUAUGGUGGCUUAUGCACACUACUGCUCCGGAAACCUUAGCAACUUACCACUUAUUAGAGAAUCUUUGUAAAGGCCUCGUAGCGACCCUAUGCAAUCACACCUUGGAAGUGUGGUAUUGUGCCUGAUCAGCACAACAUGGUUGGGUCUAAAGUUCUUUUGAACUUUUACGCGACUUGUGAGUAAAGAUGUGCAACCUUUGCAGAGUGUAAAACUGAUCGAUCAGUCGUGCUCAUGGUUAAUAGCAGUCUGGACCCUCACAUGAUUAAUAUACUUGAAGAAGAACUUAAAUCGUGGUUGUGGUUGUGCCAUAUGUUUAUGGUUAUGUUUCUAUUAAUUGUAGGUUGGUAUAUACUUAUAUCUUAGUAAUUCGAUAUUAAUAAAUUUGACCAAGUAAAAAUACUUAAUGCAGUCAACUAGCCAACCUUUUCUUGUUUAGGCCUUGCAUUCAUAUUUUUUCUCCACACUUGCUAAGUACAACAUGUGCUCACCCUUGCUAUUACCAACGUUACUCAGAAGAAGAAGCUGCUAUGAAGAUGUUGUGAAGAUGAUGCUGAGUUCUAGAUAUACGCAACCCCCAAUCAUUUGCCUGUGAAGUUGGGAGCCCCCGUUUCUAGGGUUUAAGUUGUGUAUCUCUUAGUCUCGUAACUCUUUUUUAUCUUUUUAUGUGAUACUGUUACUGUUAUUCACUAAUGAUGUCACUAUAUAUAUGAAACUUGAUCCUGGC
rnacentral:lncRNA from 1 species